rnacentral:rRNA from 1 species
AGCGAACGCUGGCGGCAGGCCUAACACAUGCAAGUCGAACGAACCUUUCGGGGUUAGUGGCGGACGGGUGAGUAACACGUGGGAACGUGCCUUUAGGUUCGGAAUAACUCAGGGAAACUUGUGCUAAUACCGAAUGUGCCCUUCGGGGGAAAGAUUUAUCGCCUUUAGAGCGGCCCGCGUCUGAUUAGCUAGUUGGUUGAGGUAAUGGCUCACCAAGGCGACGAUCAGUAGCUGGUCUGAGAGGAUGAUCAGCCACAUUGGGACUGAGACACGGCCAAACUCCUACGGGAGGCAGCAGUGGGGAAUCUUGCGCAAUGGGCGAAAGCCUGACGCAGCCAUGCCGCGUGAAUGAUGAAGGUCUUAGGAUUGUAAAAUUCUUUCACCGGGGACGAUAAUGACGGUACCCGGAGAAGAAGCCCCGGCUAACUUCGUG